GAUGAACGCUGGCGGCGUGCCUAAUACAUGCCAGUCGAGCGAACAGACGAGGAGCUUGCUCCUCUGACGUUAGCGGCGGACGGGUGAGUAACACGUGGAUAACCUACCUAUAAGACUGGGAUAACUUCGGGAAAUCGGAGCUAAUACCGGAUAAUAUAUUGAACCGCAUGGUUCAAUAGUGAAAGACGGUUUUGCUGUCACUUAUAGAUGGAUCCGCGCCGCAUUAGCUAGUUGGUAAGGUAACGGCUUACCAAGGCAACGAUGCGUAGCCGACCUGAGAGGGUGAUCGGCCACACUGGAACUGAGACACGGUCCAGACUCCUACGGGAGGCAGCAGUAGGGAAUCUUCCGCAAUGGGCGAAAGCCUGACGGGGCAACGCCGCGUGAGUGAUGAAGGUCUUCGGAUCGUAAAACUCUGUUAUUAGGGAAGAACAAAUGUGUAAGUAACUAUGCACGUCUUGACGGUACCUAAUCAGAAAGCCACGGCUAACUACGUG
rnacentral:rRNA from 1 species